ACAUCAACAUCAACAUCAACACCAUCAUGUUCUACCGCGCUGGUUCUCUGCUGCUGGUUCUGCUGGUUCUGGGCUGCCUUCAGACCUUCACCCAGGCUCAGAAUGCAAAUGGACUAACCGAAUGCUGUGUCGGUUACUUCACAAAGCCAAUUCCAAUAAGAGACAUAACAGUGUAUGAAAAAACCAGAACUGACUGUACAAAACCUGGAAUUAUUUUUACCAUCGUGGAUAAGAGACGUAUGUGUGUAGACCCCAAAGCUAAGUGGGUGCAGAGGCACAUUAAAAGAUUUCAGCAAACCCAGUAAACCCAGCAGAAUGUUCCUGACCUCUCUAUAUUCAUCAUAAAAUACACUUUCUACUUUCACUGAAAAUAUAAAUCAGCUUUUAUUGAUAUUUUUUUGAUAUUUUUCUGCUUUAUUUUACAUUAUUUACCAGAACUGAACUAUCG